UGGAGUACAGACGAGGUACGCGGAAUAAGUUAAGUAGCGGUGAAAUGCAUAGAUAUAACUUAGAACUCCGAUAGCGAAGGCAGCUUACCAGACUGUAACUGACGCUGAUGCACGAGAGCGUGGGUAGCGAACAGGAUUAGAUACCCUGGUAGUCCACGCCGUAAACGAUGCUCACUGGUUCUGUGCGAUAUAUUGUACGGGAUUAAGCGAAAGUAUUAAGUGAGCCACCUGGGGAGUACGUCGGCAACGAUGAAACUCAAAGGAAUUGACGGGGGCCCGCACAAGCGGAGGAACAUGUGGUUUAAUUCGAUGAUACGCGAGGAACCUUACCUGGGUUUAAAUGGGAAAUGUCGUAUUUGGAAACAGAUAUUCUCUUCGGAGCGUUUUUCAAGGUGCUGCAUGGUUGUCGUCAGCUCGUGCCGUGAGGUGUCGGGUUAAGUCCCAUAACGAGCGCAACCCUUACCGUUAGUUGCUAGCAUGUAAUGAUGAGCACUCUAACGGGACUGCCACCGUAAGGUGAGAGGAAGGCGGGGAUGACGUCAAAUCAGCACGGCCCUUACACCCAGGGCUACACACGUGUUACAAUGGCCGGUACAGAGGGCCGCUACCAGGUGACUGGAUGCCAAUCUCAAAAGCCGGUCGUAGUUCGGAUUGGAGUCUGUAACCCGACUCCAUGAAGUUGGAUUCGCUAGUAAUCGCGCAUCAGCCAUGGCGCGGUGAAUACGUUCCCGGGCCUUGUACACACCGCCCGUCAAGCCAUGGAAGCCGGGGGUGCCUGAAGUCCGUAACCGCGAGGAUCGGCCUAGGGCAAAACUGGUAACU
rnacentral:rRNA from 1 species